AUUGAACGCUGGCGGCAUGCCUUACACAUGCAAGUCGAACGGCAGCACGGGUGCUUGCACCUGGUGGCGAGUGGCGAACGGGUGAGUAAUACAUCGGAACGUACCUUAUCGUGGGGGAUAACGCAGCGAAAGCUGUGCUAAUACCGCAUACGCCCUGAGGGGGAAAGCGGGGGAUCGCAAGACCUCGCGCGAUUAGAGCGGCCGAUGCCUGAUUAGCUAGUUGGUGGGGUAAAAGCCCACCAAGGCGACGAUCAGUAGCUGGUCCGAAAGGACGAUCAGCCACACUGGGACUGCGACACGGCCCAGACUCCUACGGGAGGCAGAAGUGGGGAAUUUUGGACAAUGGGGGCAACCCUGAUCCAGCAAUGCCGCGUGAGUGAAGAAGGCCUUCGGGUUGUAAAGCUCUUUUGUCAGGGAAGAAACACCGGCUCUAACACAGUCCGGGAAUGACGGUACCUGAAGAAUAAGCACCGGCUAACUACGUGCCAGCCGCCGCCGUAA
rnacentral:rRNA from 1 species